rnacentral:rRNA from 1 species
AUUGAACUCUGGCGGCAGGCCUACCACAUGCAAGUCGAGCGGAUCGGCGUACGGGUGAGUAAUGCCUAGGAAUCUGCCUGUUAGUGGGGGAUAACGUCCGCAAACGGGCGCUAAUACCGCAUACUAUCAGAUUAGCCUAGUUCGGAUUAGCUAGUUGGUGGGGUAAAGGACUACCAAGGCGACGAUCCGUAACUGGUCUGAGAGGAGGAUCAGUCAUACUGGAAAUGAGAAACGGCCCAGACUCCUACGGGAGGCAGCAGUGGGGAAUAUUGGACAAUGGGCGAAAGCCUGAUCCAGCCAUGCCGCGUGUAUGAAGAAGGUCUUAGGAUUGUAAAGAACUUUAAGCUGGGAGGCGUUACCAACAGAAUAAGCACCGGCUAACUGCGUGCCAGCAGCCGCGGUAAUAC